rnacentral:rRNA from 1 species
AACGCGAAGAACCUUACCUACUCUUGACAUCCAUAGGACCUGAUAGAGAUAUUGGGGUGCCGCGAGGAACUAUGAGACAGGUGCUGCAUGGCUGUCGUCAGCUCGUGUCGUGAGAUGUUGGGUUAAGUCCCGUAACGAGCGCAACCCUUAUCCUUAGUUGCCAACAGGUAGAGCUGGGAACUCUAGGGAGACUGCCGGUGAUAAGCUGGAGGAAGGUGGGGACGAGGUCAAGUCAUCAUGGCCCUUACGAGUAGGGCUACACACGUGCUACAAUGGCCGGUACAAAGGGAAGCGAAGCUGUGAAGCGGAGCGGAUCUCAAGAAAGCUGGUCGUAGUCCGGAUUGGAGUCUGCAACUCGACUCCAUGAAGUUGGAAUCGCUAGUAAUCGCGGAUCAGAACGCCGCGGUGAAUACGUUCCCGGGCUUGUACACACCGAUAGC